AUCAAAGACUAAGUACGCUACUUCCUGUGGUAAUGUCUUUGUGACCCACUUCCUGUGG
rnacentral:sRNA from 1 species